AGGAGGAACAACCCCAGUUGUGGCGGUAGGUCUGGAGCCCUGGAGUCAGCUCCCACAGUAACCACUGAGCUCUCCGUCUGCAGGGCCUGGAGGCUCUGGGGCAGG
rnacentral:pre_miRNA from 1 species